rnacentral:sRNA from 13 species
UCCAUUUGUGAAUUAUCUCCCAACGUUCCAUUCAAAUUACCCAAUGAGAUAAGCUGGGAAUUCCAAGUUACUUGAAGAGCUGCCGCUGAUAAAUUUAUGAAGUGAUCUUUUCUCUGGGUGUAGGUGGGUAAGGAAACCCCGAACGUGAGCUUUUUGCUGAUUAACUCACGAAGAUCGGUGAUGGGAUUGAGAGCAGAUACGGCGAUGGGGGAUACCUGGAUCUUAUCAACCCAAAUCCAACGUAGGCGGGAUCCACUGUACGACGCUGUGAGGGAAACACUUGGGACUUCGAUAAAAACCGGCAGGCCGAAAUGGUCAGCAGUAGUAAAUAACUUCAGAUAGACGGACUCGCAGACCCAGACACAGUAAAAGCACUUUAUGAACUUAUCCGAACCGGCCGUGAGUGGACACUUUCCACGCUGAUUAGGAGAAAUCACCCCGAAAUGACCAAUCAAUUGAAAAGGAAACGAAAACAGAACCGCAGACAAAACCAAUUAGGAGUCGAUUAAUCGCUGGGGUAAUUAGGCUGGCGCACAUAUAGAUUCGUAGGAAUUCCAGUCAUUGGCAAUUCAUCUUUGGCCACCAACUCUGACGCAGAGUUCUCCUCCUCCUCCGCUCCGGCUCCAAGUUCGAUAUCGCAAUCGUUUUAUAUCCAAGACAUCGUCGUGCAGCCGACGAGUCAGACGAUCCAAUAGUCCAAUAAUGCGGCAAUCAAGGCUUCCUUUGAUCGAUUGCAUUGAAUCACGGGAAUUGGAUUGGAUAUCGACAUUAUUGGGGGGAUCGCAAAACCAUAUCGAGCUAGCAGGAUGAUGACUUCAACUUCCUUAUCGCGGCCAUCAUCACGUCAAUCCAGCUUUUCGGAUAAGAGCCCGUGACACGGGUAAGUACAUAAAUUAUAAAAUUAGUUGGCACGUUUAGCCGGGCGGGUCCAUAAAAGUGGCGAUAUCACUUCCUAGGAUAACGAUCCAGCUGAAAGAAAAGGUCCCGACUAACAAACAUCAUCAACACGGUUUUGUUCCUUUUCAAUAAUAUUUUAUUUUAAUGUACUUGCAUUAUAUUUAGUUAAUAACUAGAUUUGUAAAUUAUUCUCACUUGAAUGCGUCUAUAAAUUAAAUCUUAUUCGUAACUCACGUCUCUCAGCAUUACUAGAUAAGAAAAAAAAUAGAAGUACCACACACAUACGAUGAUCUUUGAGGGAGGACUCUUCACUUCACCUUCACGUCUCUUCUCUUCCCGCUAACGACUAAGAUUAGUUUCAAUAUGUGCUCUACAUCAUGUCUGUCGUGUUUGCAUUAUCUCUAUGUCUGUAAAUCAGUUAUCAGUUAAUCAGUUUAUCAACAAUUGUACAAGUGACAAAUCUACAAUGAAUUCGAUAAAGCACCGAGCACGUUGACAACUCUGGCGCAUGCAAAUUGAAAUCUCCUACUCCCUCAUCGAGAUGAAUGCCUUAUUUAAAAGUAAGCAAUAAUAUGUAUUUAGUUUUCCAUAGGCUAAAAUGUAGUUCUCUUCCGACCGAAUCGAAUUUCCAAAGGCAUUAAACGACAUUAAAAACGAGGAUCCAUUAAACGAAUUUGCACUACAGUGUGGAGGGCAGCGGCCACUCCAAAAGUUGUUUUAGUUUAGGAUAACAAUUAGAAUGAAGUUGCUUUAAUUAUCAAGAAGGAUCUAAAAACAAAUAGCAAAAAAAGAGGUAAUCAUAAUAAUAAUAAUAAUAAUAAUGGUUUAAUGAUAGCGUUAACUAUAAUAAUUGUAGGCUACCGUUGAAGAAGAAAAACACUCCAAGUCUUUCAAGUUGACCAAAUAGAUGAAUAUUGUGUGGAUCAUCACUUGUACAUUACAUUAUCUAAGUAAUUUAAUUAUGACGAUGACGACAUGAGAACGAUGAAGACGACUAUUAAGCUGAAUUGUGAUUGAACCUGAAAACUCUUUGUUUUUUGAAACGAUUUAUAAAUGUUUAUAGUAAUUCCGUUGCUGCCGAUCAAUGUAAAUGUAAAUGUAAAAUACAAUUGAAAUAAAACUCUAUUUUUCAUACACAACAAAAUAAAUAUGAUUAACAUGGUUGGUUUCUUUGAUGGUUUAUUAGUGUGUUAUUUUGUUAUUGUGUUAUUAUCGAUGUGUUGUUGAUGUUGUUGUUGUGGCUGCCCUACACUUAGAACAAUUCUAGCUAAAAUUGCUGCUAGGCUAGACACCCAGAAUUGGUAGCUUAAGCGAUAAGUUUGCAACAAUUCGCUUGCUUCUUUUUCCUCUUGCAUAUACAAAAGAAGUUUGAAAGAAAGGCAUUUAGAGGUUUUCACUCCUUCUUUUCAAUAGGCUAGUUUUGGUAGCAACAAUCAUUGUUUCUCAUUUGUUUUUUGCAUUUCUUUGUCUGUCAAAAUGGAUUUUAUAUACAAUGGGUUUGUUUGGGGGAAAAAGUAUCCAUUUCUGUUUUUGCUUUUUUUUUUUUACUGUGUUUGUUGUUUUGCUUGUUAUGUUUGUUAUGUUUAAUGUUGGUUUGUUGUCUAACAAUGGCACACACGCAUAUAUAAUUAUUAAGAAUUCGCAUUUAAAUGGUUUCUUUUUCUUUGUUAGGCAUUCUGUGGCUUUAGUGCGGGUGUGAGUUGGGUUGGGUUGGGAAUUUAGAAUACGUUUUUUGAAUACAGUUCGAAUACAAAUCAACAAAAAAUUUAUAA